rnacentral:rRNA from 1 species
AAUAAGCGGAGGAAAAGAAACCAACCGGGAUUGCCCCAGUAACGGCGAGUGAAGCGGCAACAGCUCAAAUUUGAAAUCUGGCCUCCUUCGGGGUCCGAGUUGUAAUUUGUAGAGGAUGCUUCGGGUGACGGAUAGGCCUAAGUUCCUUGGAACAGGACGUCAUAGAGGGUGAGAGUCCCGUCUGCGGUCAACCCCCGACCCCAUGUGAAGCGCCUUCGACGAGUCGAGUUGUUUGGGAAUGCAGCUCUAAAUGGGUGGUAAAUUUCAUCUAAAGCUAAAUACCGGCCGGAGACCGAUAGCGCACAAGUAGAGUGAUCGAAAGAUGAAAAGCACUUUGGAAAGAGAGUCAAACAGUAUGUGAAAUUGUUGAAAGGGAAGCGCCUGCGACCAGACCUGUCUUCGGGUGAUCACCCGCCGUUCUCGGCGGUGCACUCGCCCGGUAGCAGGCCAGCAUCGGUUUCGGCGGCCGGAUAAAGGCCCCGGGAAUGUACCUUUCCCCCGGGAAAGACUUAUAGCCCGGGGUGCAAUGCGGCCAGCCGGGACCGAGGACCGCGCUUCGGCUAGGAUGCUGGCGUAAUGGUCGUAGGCGGCC